AAUAAAUUUACCAUUAUCGGCGUGCAGUCGACGUCAGCUACUAUUAGAGGCGUCACAACAACUGUUUGCAUAAUUGUAAUUAUCUACCAUAUACAUAUGUACAU